CGAAUAAAAUAUAUUUUCUUUUAAAAUCAUAAUAAAUUAACGAUAAUAAGGUAUUAUUCUUUGAAUAAGGAGACCUCCCAUAUACUUUGGUAAGUACAUAUCCUUAAGGAUUUCAAGGAUCAUCUGUCUGAGAGAGAUUCGUGAUACGAUCUGGGACCCUACGCGAAAAGGAUACUUAGGGGGCGCGGAUCUUCGAAGGGGGAUCAUAAUCCGGCCUCCCACGAUGUUCCUAAAUUUAACGUUUCUUAUGAAUUACGACAGGACUCUGCACAAUUUUCGAACCCUAACCAAUCACGUUUCAUAAAACAUCGACCCACGCCACGUGCGCACGAGCAUAAUCGACACGAUCAAUUGAUUGGUACAGUACGGUUCAAGAGUUCAAGACCGUGUUUCUUUUUUUCAUCGUUUGGCUGGAAUUUUCUUUGGAAAUUUGAUGGAUUUAAACAAACGAAAAGUGUAAGAGAUAAAUCGAUUUGAUGAAAUCGCUUUGAAAGACAUUUUGAAAAACUUUAAAUCACGUAUCAAAAUCACGUUCACGGACAAUCGAUCCGAGAACAAGCUCAUGGUGCAUCUGCCCUUUCCUACCCUCGAAACAACAAGUAGAUCGUUAUCGUCUAUACCACUUUCACCAUCGAGGUGAAUGAAGAAAGCCGAAUGGAUAUAACGAGAUAUAAUCGUUCAUUAUCAAAAAAGAGAAGAGGGAAAAAAUUACAUUCAAAAGAAAUUUUAUUUGAAAAAUUCGAAUUCUUGUAAUUUAAUGAUUUGUUUAUUUCAAAAACGAGCUUUUCGAUGAAACACACGAAUUCAUUGUUUUCCCUAAUGUGAUAAUAUCAUGGCUCUUUUGCCAUGAUUUCUAAUGGAUAUGCCUACGCAUGUAAGCAUUGUUCUCCACUACAAGGGAAAAUACAUAAGUACAUAUAUCGCAAAGAUUUUGAUUGUCACCAAAGCGAUGAUGGAUGACUUCCCUUAUCGUACUUCUGUUAUACAAUAAAUAAGAUUGUUCGAAAAUGAUGGGAACUGUGACAAGAAUUAUGUCCUUCUAUUUAUUUCCCAAUGUUACGACGCAUUUAAGAAUUGUGAUUAAUGAGUACAAUCUAAUCGAUGAACAUAAAGGACUGGAUAAAAAAGGGACCGACCGAAGACCAUUAAGAGGAAAGAUCUAGCAUAUCGGGAGACUUGUUCUGUUAGUGAAUCAUGGAGAAAAAAAUGAGAGGAUCUACGAGAGAAGACGAUGUCCCGGAAGAUAGUAAUUACCUUUGGAAGAAAUUCUCUUUGGACCUUUGAUACAAAAAUAUAUGUUUCUGCUCAUGGAUUUGAUGAAUGAAUGAUGGAAAGAUCGACGAUCGAAUAUCCUCCAUUCUUUGAAUAAAAAUUAUAGAAUUAUUGAAUUCUUUAUAAAGGAUGAUCUAUUAAAGAAGAACGAUCAAAAAAUUUAAACCAUUGAGUCUUACAAAGAAACAUUCUAAAUGAAAGACACGGAUACGAGAUUUUGGGGCUCAUUGUGAAUCAUCCGCAGCAGCUCAAUGAAAUUCUUUCGUAUUUCGAAGGGACUUGGUUCAGGUAAAUGGACUAUUUGAAAGAUUGAAUCGACAAGCAAAAAAAGAGAAGAAUAGAGCAAAUAUUUUAACCUGCUUGGGAUUGAGUUUCUUUUUAAUCAAGUUUGUUUAAAGAAUCUCGACCAGAGGCUUAUCAAGCACGUUUUAUCGUCUGUUUAUAUUCCUGUAUAUUUGUUUAUAAAUAGAAUUUAUAUUUUCUAAUUAUAUUGAUCAUCGCUUUCAAAUACUAUUUUGUAUGAUUAUUAUUCUAUCUUACCAUUAUUAUAACAUUGCUAUCUGUUCAUAUUAAUUACCAGUCUCUAUAUCUCUCAUUAGAUUGAUAAAUUAUAAUCAUCAAUUAAAUCUGUUAUAAAAAAUAAAAGAAAAAAUGGUAAAAAUGAUAAAAGAUAGUAUAAAUUAUAACUUUGUCAAAAGAUUGUAAUUUUAGAUUAAACUUUAUGUAAAUGAACUAACCUUCAAAAUAAGUAGGGAUAAAAAUGAUCAUCAAAUCAAUAUAACUGAGAUAUGAUGUUCAAAUUCCAUUGAAAUAAACUGGAUAGCAUAUAAUUCACGAAGAUAUAAACACGUGGAUGGGAUUCACAGGAAAAUCUUUUAAAAAUUCGAUAUUACGUAAUUCAAAAACAAUUAUAAUGCUACUGAAAACAGUACGUUGAUUCAUUAGAAAAAAAUCUUAAGCUAUUUUAGAAUACGACGACAUUAUGCUAUGAAUAAAAUCUGUUUGAUCAAUGGUCAGAAAAACGGUUAUACCAUAGAGUAGCCCAGUUAUGAUAUGUAUGGAAAUUAUAUUUGAAAUAUGUUUAAAGAUAAAAAUUAAUAAUG